rnacentral:rRNA from 1 species
UACGAAGGGGGCUAGCGUUGUUCGGAAUCACUGGGCGUAAAGCGCACGUAGGCGGCUUUGUAAGUUAGAGGUGAAAGCCCGGGGCUCAACUCCGGAAUUGCCUUUAAGACUGCAUCGCUAGAAUUGUGGAGAGGUAAGUGGAAUUCCGAGUGUAGAGGUGACAUUCGUAGAUAUUCGGAAGAACACCAGUGGCGAAGGCGACUUACUGGACACAUAUUGACGCUGAGGUGCGAAAGCGUGGGGAGCAAACAGG